UACACUCCUACGGGAGGCAGCAGUGGGGAAUUUUGGACAAUGGGCGAAAGCCUGAUCCAGCCAUGCCGCGUGCAGGAUGAAGGCCUUCGGGUUGUAAACUGCUUUUGUACGGAACGAAACGGCCUUUUCUAAUAAAGAGGGCUAAUGACGGUACCGUAAGAAUAAGCACCGGCUAACUACGUGCCAGCAGCCGCGGUAAUACGUAGGGUGCAAGCGUUAAUCGGAAUUACUGGGCGUAAAGCGUGCGCAGGCGGUUAUGUAAGACAGUUGUGAAAUCCCCGGGCUCAACCUGGGAACUGCAUCUGUGACUGCAUAGCUAGAGUACGGUAGAGGGGGAUGGAAUUCCGCGUGUAGCAGUGAAAUGCGUAGAUAUGCGGAGGAACACCGAUGGCGAAGGCAAUCCCCUGGACCUGUACUGACGCUCAUGCACGAAAGCGUGGGGAGCAAACAGGAUUAGAUACCCCAGUAGUCCCA
rnacentral:rRNA from 1 species